rnacentral:pre_miRNA from 17 species
AAACCUUGGUGUCCGACCCUGCCCAGAGUUACGUACUUCUUCAUAUGCCCAUAUGAGUUUCCAGGCUAUGGAAUGUAAAGAAGUAUGUAUUUGUGGUGUGGAACAUCUUCAAUCAUAAA